rnacentral:rRNA from 1 species
AUUGAACGCUGGCGGCAGGCCUAACACAUGCAAGUCGAACGAGUGGCGGACGGGUGAGUAAUGUCUGGGAAACUGCCUGCUGGAGGGGGAUAACUACUGAAAACGGUAGCUAAUACCGCAUACCCUCUGAUGGGCCCAGAGUGGAUUGGCUAGUAGGUGGGGUAAAGGCUCACCUAGGCGACGAUCCCUCGCUGGUCUGAGAGGAUGACCAGCCACACUGGAACUGAGACACGGUCCAGACUCCUACGGGAGGCAGCAGUGGGGAAUAUUGCACAAGGGGCGCAAGCCUGAUGCAGCCAUGCCGCGUGUAUGAAGAAGGCCUUCGGGUUGUAAAGUACUUUCAGCGGGGAGGCGUUACCCGCAGAAGAAGCACCGGCUAACUCCGUGCCAGCAGCCGCGGUAAUUC